UUGUUUAGGACCCGUGUCUGCCGGUAGUUCCCCCGCCUCUGUGCGGCCGACUACCGGCGCCGUGUCCCGUUGGUCCCGUGGCUUAUGUUACCGUUGCCUUUCAUGUGCUUGUAUGCUGGUACCCGAACUGUGGGAAGUGGUGCAUUCUACAGGUUGCCUCGCGGCGGACGCCUUCCGGUGUGUCGUUGCGGCCAUAUGGCGCUUGCGGUGUUGCCUCGUGGCUCUUGCACGUUUUCGUGUCGGUGCUAUCAAGGCAGCCUCGCUCACGCUGUUGGUCUCGGAUGUUGCUCACGAUAAAGUGUCGUGGCCCUUUUGGUUGCCAUGACCCGACCCUUGGAAGCUCCCCGAAUUGAGAACAACCGGAACAGGUGUUGCCUCUACCUCUCCGCAGUUAGUGGUAGGAUACGCAACAUUCUGCGCCGAUCCUCAAACAAGUAGGACGAGCUUGGCCCGCUCAAAUGCGACUACCGGCCCGGCAGUUGCCUCUUCCUUGACACGCAAGUGGAUUGGCGGACGACUGUCGACGUUUGGUGUCAAAAAGGA
rnacentral:misc_RNA from 1 species